GCAGUAUUUCCUCAAAAUAAAGAGUGGAAAUCAGGUUAAACAAUGAUUUUCCACACAAGGCCUGUGAGUAUUUGUCCUGUUUGGCUAAAAAAAGGAGAAAGCUGAAGUUCCCAGGUCACUCUCCAGAUUAUUGCAGCCCCUGGGUGCUGUGGUCAGAGCAGUCUGGGUCCUGCUUUGGGCAAAAAGCUCCCUCCCAUCCUCACUGCAGCAAAAAAUCCACCCAAGGGGAAGGGAAAACCACCAAAUCCUGCUGCAGUGGGAGUUCUGCUGCUCUCCACAAGCCUGGAGCCUACAAGGCUUCAGAGGGUGGCAGAGACCUGAGAUUUGGGGGGAAUAAAGGGUUAAUGAGCUGCAGAAAAAGCAAAAGAAAUCCAAAGGCAAACCUCAGAGUGACUGGGAAAGAGGGAAAAGAGGGCUGGAGGAGAAAUCCUCCCAUCCCAGCUCUCCCCUUCAGGGAAGUUUUCCAGGGCUGUGAAGGUGGUCAGACACACCCAGAGAUGAAACCCCACUGCUCUGGGCUGAGGAACAUGAACCACACUCCUCCCAUCCACGGGAUGCUCCAGGGGGACUCUUUCCACUCUCCCUCCACAUUUCCAGCUGUUUUUUCCUGGGAUUCCCAUUGCAGAGCCAACAGAAAUGAAUCUUCAUGGCAGCCCAGAAAUCCCCACCCCACGGAGAGACGAGGAAAGCAUCGAGGGAGGCCAAAGCUCCAAGAGGGAAGCUCAAGGCUUCAGCCUGUUACACUCUGAGGCAGGAGAAAGUAAAAUCUGUGCCCACAUCUGUGAUGCUCCUCCCAGGUCCACCCUGCACAGCUUCUCUUCUGCACUGCCCCAGGGGACAGCACAAGAGGAAAAGGACUCAAAUGGCACCAGGGGAGGCUCAGGUUGGAGAUUGGGAAAGAAAAUGUCCCUGGAAGAGCAGCCAGACCUUGUGAUGAGCUGCCCAGGGAGGUUUGGAGUCCCUGGAAUUGUCCCAGAGGAGUCUGGAUGUGGCCCUUGGGGACAGGCUUUGGGCUGAUGCUGGAUGAACACAAAAGUCUCCAGGUGAUUUUGGACUCUGGGAUUUUUCUUCAGCCACAAAGAACCAUCCCAGGUGUCCCUCUCCACCAGGAAUUAAGGACAGAGCAUCCCAAUGUGGUCUGUGACCUUCAGCCACGGAGUUAUUGGAACAUUUAGAGGCAGGUUUUUACCAGACAUUAAUAUUUUGGGGGCAGCCUGUCAGGAUCCCUUUGGUCAGCAGCCAACAUUGCAGCAGAGCAGCUGUUCCUGUGCACCCAGAUCCCAAAUGCUCAGGAGGAGUCUGGAUGUGGUUCCUGUGCACCCAGAUCCCAAAUGCUCAGGAGGAGUCUGGAUGUGGCCCUUGGGGACAGCUUUGGGCUGAUGCUGGGUGGGACUGGCUCAUCCUGGAGGGCUCUUCCCACCUGGAUUCUGGGAUUCUGGGAUCCUGCCAGGGGAUCCAGCCCUUCCCCAGCUUGGCCACUUCUGGCCCUGCUCCUUUCCCACCUGCUCAAACUCUCCUGUGAGGAACAAAGCUUGACCCAACCCCAAACUCAACAGGAGCAGUCAGAGAGCAGGGAGAGCAGCAGAAAUCUUGGUGCCAGAGCGUGUCCAGAGCCCAGAGCUUUUGGAGGCUGAAAGCCCCACUGGAAAUUAAAGUUCUCCACCCUUUCUGCACCUUUGUCUACCAUUCCAAGCCCCUUUACUCACACUGAUUUAAUAAUCCCAUUUAUUUCACUGAGGUUAUUCCUGUAAGACCAAGGAUGUGAAUGCUUGCAGGGCUACAGGAACACUGGAAUUCUGAACUUCCACCACCUUUAUUCAGCCUCCAUGGGCUGGUUCACAUGCAUUCCAUCUUACUCAGUCAAAUCCUGAGGAAAAUCUUCCCAGGACUGGAAAUCCAGAAGUUUACAGAAGGGAAACAUAAAUAAACCCCCCUGAGGUGCAGCCUUCCCCCA
rnacentral:lncRNA from 1 species